GAUGAACGCUAGCUACAGGCUUAACACAUGCAAGUCGAGGGGCAGCAUGGUCUUAGCUUGCUAAGACUGAUGGCGACCGGCGCACGGGUGAGUAACACGUAUCCAACCUGCCGUCUACUCUUGGACAGCCUUCUGAAAGGAAGAUUAAUACAAGAUGGCAUCAUGAGUCCGCAUGUUCACAUGAUUAAAGGUAUUCCGGUAGACGAUGGGGAUGCGUUCCAUUAGAUAGUAGGCGGGGUAACGGCCCACCUAGUCUUCGAUGGAUAGGGGUUCUGAGAGGAAGGUCCCCCACAUUGGAACUGAGACACGGUCCAAACUCCUACGGGAGGCAGCAGUGGGGGAUAUUGGUCAAUGGACGAGAGUCUGAACCAGCCAAGUAGCGUGAAGGAUGAAGGUCCUACGGAUUGUAAACUUCUUUUAUAAGGGAAUAAACCCUCCACGUGUGGGAGCUUGUAUGUACCUUAUGAAUAAGCAUCGGCUAACUCCGUGCCAG
rnacentral:rRNA from 1 species